rnacentral:snoRNA from 1 species
CCGCAAAUUUUCUCACUGGCUUUGUUUUUCACAAGCAAGUCAGGCUAGCAUUUCGCUAGAUUAAAGCCGUGCUCAGUGUCUAUGGGCCUUAUUUCUUAGUCCUGUUGUAAUCUUUGCUGGCAACAUUU